rnacentral:rRNA from 1 species
CCAAAAACGGAAAUUUACACCUUAGUAGAUACUACUUAAUUUAAUAGAUAUAGUAAUAAAACAUAAUAUUAUCGUAAAUAAUGGUUAUUAAAGUGUAUCCAGUUUAUAAUUUUAUACAAAUUAUAUAAAUAUAAAUAUAGCUAUUAUUAUUACACUAUGGUUUAUAGAGUGCCAGCAACCGCGGUCAAACUCUAGUAGUGCUUAAUUACUUAUAUAAAAUCUAUUAUAAUUAUAGUAUAUAAAGUGAAAUUAUAUAGUAAAAUGUAAAUUUCAACUAAUAUAGUAGAUCUAUUUGCUAGUUGUAAAAUAUGAUUUAAAAACUAGGAUUAGAUACCCUACUAUUCAUAAAAUAUGUAAAGAUUUUGAGGAGUAUCAUUUUAAAACUCAAAAAUUAUGGCGGUCUAUAAAAUUUAUUAGGGGAGCUUACCUUAUAAUUGAUAGCCACCAAGAAUAAUUUACUUAUCUUAUAAAAAGUUUGUAUGCCAUCGUAUAAAAUAUUUUUUAAAAAUAUUUACAAUAUAUCUCUAUUAUAUAAUUACAGAUCAAGGUGCAACUAAUAGAUAAGUAAGGGCGAGCUACAAUAAUAAUUUAUUAUCGGUAAUUAAAUAUAAACAUUUGAUGAAAGAUGGACUUAAAAGUAAUAUUGUGUUCCUAUAUACAUAACUAACCAUUAAAAAAUGAAUAUCCCAUUUAUAGGUGC